CUGCUGCCUCCCCCUCGGGCAGAUAGCAGAGCCUGCAGUGGCAGUAGCAGGCACCUGGGAUGAUGGGGUCCCCAUUAACACACGCCAGAAGAUAUCGGUAUUCACAAAUCAGCUGAUGAAUAACAUGUGUGGAAGUACUUGCUAUUGUUGAUCACCUGUACCCCAGCACAAGAGCUCCAGCUUAAUCAUUUUCAAGCUCUGCUCUCAGAACAUGGGGGAGAAUGAUGAUGAAAAAUACAGUCAAGCUGGCCGGAUAUUUGAAAACUUUGUCCAAGCAUCAACAUGCAAAGGCACCAUUCAGGCCUUCAAUAUUCUCACUCGCCAACUUGAAUUAGAUCCUUUGGACAAUAGAAACUUCUACACCAAACUGAAAUCGAGAGUGACCACAUGGAAAGCCAAAGCUUUGUGGAACAAGCUUGAUAAGAGAGCAAGUCACAAAGAGUAUAAACGUGGAAAGUCUUGUAUGAACACUAAGUGUUUAAUUAUUGGAGGUGGCCCUUGUGGCCUGCGGACUGCCAUAGAACUUGCCUUCCUGGGAGCCAAGGUUGUUGUUGUGGAGAAGCGGGACACUUUCUCAAGGAACAAUGUGCUGCAUCUCUGGCCCUUUACCAUCCAUGACCUUCGUGGACUGGGAGCAAAGAAAUUUUAUGGAAAGUUCUGUGCAGGAUCUAUUGACCAUAUCAGUAUUCGACAGCUUCAACUCAUCCUCUUCAAAGUUGCACUUAUCCUUGGAGUGGAAAUUCACGUGAACCUGGAAUUCGUGAAAGUCCUGGAGCCUCCUGAAGAUCAAGAAAACCGAAAGAUGGGUUGGAGGGCUGAAUUUCUCCCCAUGGACCACCCUUUGUCAGAGUAUGAAUUUGAUGUUAUCAUUGGUGCAGAUGGCCGCAGGAACACAUUAGAAGGCUUCAGGAGGAAGGAAUUUCGUGGAAAGCUGGCUAUAGCGAUCACUGCCAAUUUUAUAAACAGAAAUACAACUGCAGAAGCCAAGGUAGAAGAAAUUAGUGGGGUUGCUUUCAUCUUCAAUCAGAAGUUCUUCCAGGACCUGAAAGAGGAAACGGGGAUUGACCUGGAGAAUAUUGUUUACUAUAAAGACAGCACGCAUUAUUUUGUGAUGACAGCAAAAAAGCAGAGUCUUCUGGACAAAGGAGUGAUUAUUAACGACUCCAUUGAUACCGAGCUGCUGCUCUGUGGGGAAAAUGUGAACCAGAGCAAUUUGCUGUCCUACGCCAGAGAAGCUGCUGACUUUGCAACCAACUACCAGCUGCCUUCCUUGGAUUUUGCAAUUAAUCAUUAUGGCCAACCAGAUGUAGCAAUGUUUGAUUUUACCUCCAUGUAUGCAUCUGAAAACGCUGCGCUGGUGAGAGAGAGGCACAGACAUCAGCUCCUGGUGGCUCUCGUUGGAGAUAGUUUGCUUGAGCCGUUCUGGCCGAUGGGUACUGGCUGUGCGAGAGGCUUCCUGGCUGCCUUUGACACCGCGUGGAUGGUGCGGAGCUGGGCGCAGGGGAAGCCCCCGCUGGAGAUCCUGGCUGAACGAGAGAGCAUUUACCGACUCUUGCCUCAGACGACCCCUGAAAAUAUUAAUAAGAACUUUGACCAGUACACCAUUGACCCAGGAACAAGAUACCCGAACUUGAACUCGAGCUGUGUUCGACCUCACCAGGUGAGACAGUUAUAUGUUACCAACGAGCUACAGCAGUGUCCUCUUGAGAGAGUGAGCUCCAUUAGAAGAUCAGUGAACCUCACAAGACAGGAGUCAGAUAUUCGGCCUAACAAGCUUUUGACGUGGUGCCAGAAGCAGACGGAGGGAUACCGAAACGUUAAUGUCACUGACCUGACCACCUCCUGGAAAAGUGGCCUUGCUCUGUGUGCCAUCAUCCAUCGCUUCAGGCCUGACCUCAUCGACUUCGAGGCCCUGAACGAAGAGGACGUGGUGAGGAACAACCAGCUGGCCUUCGACGUGGCCGAGCAGGAGUUCGGGAUCCCGCCGGUGACCACGGGCAAGGAGCUGGGCUCGGCCGGGGAGCCCGACAAGCUCAGCAUGGUGCUCUACCUUUCCAAGUUCUACGAGCUGUUCCGCGGCACCCCUCUGCGCGCAGUCGAUGCUGUUGACAAGCAAAAUGAAGAAAAUAAUGAUCCUCAUUUACCAAAAUCGAAUUUCAUCUGUAAUAAUUAUAUCAAUUUAAGUUUAAGAAGAAAACGAGUACCAAAGGCUGAAGGGAAAACAGAAGAAAAUGAGACUAACAAAAGGCGUCGGAAAGGACUCUUUGGUGUCUUUGAGCAGACUUCAAGCUUUCCAAGCCAGGGGACAGGCAAUGGGAAAGAACAGAGUGAUGGCAGAGAAGGAAUGAACCAGAACAAAGUCAAAUCAAUGGCAACUCAGCUGCUGGCAAAGUUUGAAGAGAAUGCUUCAAAUACAAUUCUGCAGAGACAGGAGCUAACAGAUAGACCAGCCCUGCUCUCCUCUGAUCCUCCUGUUAAUCCUCGCUUUGCUAAACCUAUGGAUCCAAGCCUUCUUCCACCUCAACCAAAAAGGCAGUUUCAGGUGGUAGCUAGGAGUGAACACGAGGUCAGGGAACCCAAACAGUCUUUAAAUGGUUCUGAUCAUAUGGCCAGGAGAGCAAAGACUGUGCACAAAACAGAUCCCCAGCCCAGUCUGUCAGAAACCUCUGAAAAUCUCGCGUCUGCCCGUUCUGCUGCAUUUGUGCUUUCUGGAGUGCUUGAGCGUCUUCAGCACCUGGAGGAAAAAAUGAAACAGAAAAGAGCUCAGACCAUAGCAAAUAGGGAAUUCCAUAAAAAGAACAUUAAAGAGAAAGCAGCACAUCUCGCCUCAAUGUUUGGAUACAUGGAGUUUCCGAAGAAUAAGCUACCUACUAAAGGCUUACCCCAUUCUCAGCCGCCAACUCCCUCUUGCUUUCCACCUCAUCAUUCAGCUGUUGCUGCUUCAUCAUCUGUUGGUUCAGCUUCUUCUGCUGUUUCUUCUCAACAGACGACUGUAGGAAAGGUCUCACGUGCAAUUGGAGCUGUGGCUGAAGUUCUUGUAAAUCUGUAUGUGAAUGAUCACAGACCCAAGCCACAGCUUGAACUGAAACGGUCUCUGGACAGAGCUGCAGGUUCUUGCCCCAUUCCUCACUUACCAUCUGCUGCCUCCACCACUCAGAGCUGUCAGGUACUGGGAAGCCAAGGUUCUCUGCGAAAAGAAUUCCCCAAGUCCAUCGGGGGGAGUGACAUUUGUUAUUUCUGCAAGAAACGGGUCUAUGUCAUGGAGCGGCUGAGUGCAGAAGGCCACUUCUUUCACAGGGAGUGCUUCAAGUGUGAAAUAUGUUCUACUACACUCCGCUUAGGAAUUUAUGCCUUUGAUGUUGAAGAAGGUAAAUUUUACUGUAAACCUCAUUUUACGCACUGCAAAAUCAGUACAAAACACAGAAAGAGAAGGGCAACAAUACAGAUCCAUGGAAAGGAGGCGAUAGAUGCGUGGAAGAAAGUGGAAGCCAAACCCACAGAGAUCACCACAGAAAGCAGUUUGUCCACUGCUAGCAGUCCAGAGGACAGGUCCCCAGGCGACAACUUCUUUGGUAAUUCAUUUCAACGUGUGCAGCUGGUGGCAGAAAGGUGAAAUUCUAUUACCUGGAGCAGCAGAUGAGUAAAAUUUUUUCAGAUGUCCCUCAGCCUUAAUCAGAAGGUCUACCUUAAUCUGUUAAACAGCAAGGACACAGUGACAUCCCAAUGCUCAUUGCUUUCAGCCUAGUUAGCCAGCGAGUCCAAUUCAACAUUCCGGUGCUGCACCCGCUCACUGGCUGAAGCCUUUCUGCUCUCAGAGUCUUCCUUGCUCUUCCUGCCCAGUGAGGAUUCUGUCCUUCUCCUCCUAAAUCUUCUGUCUUCAUUUUACUUUAUAAUCUUAACUGAGUAUUUUUAUUAAAUAGUUUUUAACUCUGUAUUUAAAUUUUCACAUGGAAAUUCUGUAUUUUGCACAUGGUGAAAAUUGUUUUAGCUUUAUUUAUGAUAUCUGCUGUAAACAAAAAUAAAUGUAGUUCUUUAUAAGU